UACGGAGGGUGCAAGCGUUGUCCGGAUUUAUUGGGUUUAAAGGGUGCGUAGGCGGUUCUUUAAGUCCGGGGUGAAAGCCCACUGCUCAACAGUGGAACUGCCCUGGAAACUGGAGAACUUGAGUACAGACGAGGGCGGCGGAAUGGAUGGUGUAGCGGUGAAAUGCAUAGAUACCAUCCAGAACCCCGAUUGCGAAGGCAGCUGCCUAGACUGUAACUGACGCUGAGGCACGAAAGCGUGGGGAGCAAACAGG
rnacentral:rRNA from 1 species